rnacentral:lncRNA from 1 species
AUGGUCUGCCGCUGGGGAAGAAAGCGAGGCUCAGCCCGUGAAGAUGGGGGGAGCCGAUCGUUUCAUCAGCCACUUCUAACCGAGCUUCUACUGCGUGCCAGGGCUGAGCUGGCGAGGCAGCGAGACCCAGCGCUGCCUGCCAGGAGGAGACGUCAGACUGAGUCACAGAACCAAACCCAGGGCCCAGGGCAGACAGGGCUUUCCAACGAGAAGACGAAGUCAGUGUGGACGGCAGUGAUCAGCAAGGAGGCGAGGGAGAGCAUUCCAGGGUCCCAGAACAAGUUGGUGCCUGAGCUGGGGCUCAGACACUCUGCAUCUCCGGCCGAGGCUGAUUCCUCCGGCACCGAACUCCCUCCAUCUCACCUCCGGCACCAAGAGCCCAACAGCCGUCAUUUGCAUUGUAGUGCACCCCCCACCCCCUGCCAGCUUACCAUAUAACCAAACACCCAGGCUAGACUUCCGGAUCUUUAAGGAAACACAAAAGAGUGAAAGACACAACAGAAGGCUGAUAACCGAGCGUUCCUUUGGCGCUGUGUCAGCGUGCAGCAGCAGCGUGCCUGAAUCUCCUGCCCUCAAUCUGUUCACCAAACUGUGUCUCCCUCUCGUUCGAGCUGCUCCUGGAAGCAAGUUACUGGCAGCCUCCAUGGGCUGGCCCUGGCUGAACCUCGUCGAUGUCUGGGUGUUGCUCACCCAGCGCCCACCUCCACAGAGCUUCAGCUUCAGCCUCCCCUGCCAGCUGCUGAGCCUCUCGGGGCUCCAAACAAGCCCAUUUCCCUCCCCCGCCUCACCUGCUCUCGUCCACGCCGAUUCCACCCCUGCGCUGGACAUAGAUUGAUGCCAGUUCCGCGUCGUGUCGGGAGGUAGUCACCUCCUGCUUGAUUUCAGUCGCAAGUUUGCCCUUGCUUUGCUGCUGCGCACUAAGACUUAGGGGGUCUCGUUGACUGCAUCGCCUACCGCCCAGGUUCCACACGGGACCCAAGCCCAAGUUGCAUCAGCAGUGCUACCUGGAUUCCUGCUUGGAGGUCUCCUGACACAGGAUUGACAAUUCUCUUUCAUUUUUUUAAAAGAUGUAUUUAUUUAUU